rnacentral:lncRNA from 1 species
CCCCUUUGGCUUUAGUCCGAGUUGUAACGGCUCCAAAAAAUUUCUACCGACGCUCCCCCUUUUGCCCCGGUUAGAAAUUCCAACGGGGAUAAAAGAUCACUCUUUUUAUCUAAGUUGGUAAUUUCAACCGGGACAAAAUAUUUACUUCUGGUUAGUAAUUACAACUGGGUCCCAAUUAAAAUUUUCAACCAGGACAAAAGGUCCCUUCCCACGCCUCCAUUCUUAUCUUUGUCUCCUCCCCCUCUCCCAUUCUUCGAGGCACCUUAUGCUCUUCCUUCGCUUUCUCUCCUCCUCCUCUCCCAUUAUCUCCAAGCGGGCAGCCGGGCCUUCAGCGAGGGCGAGUGGCCUCCGGUGCGAGUGAGCAGCAGAUGGUGAAGGCAAGGAGGAGGCGGCACGAGUCCGAGCGCCUCGCGGGUGGGCCGCGUGGAAGACCAGCGCGGGCAGGACCAUUUUCUUUUUAUAUUUUUGGAAACUUUUUA